UACGGGGGGGGCAAGCGUUGUUCGGAAUUACUGGGCGUAAAGGGCGCGUAGGCGGUCUGCUAAGUCACACGUGAAAUCCCUCGGCUCAACCGGGGAACUGCGUGUGAUACUGGCGGGCUUGAAGUCGGGAGAGGGAUGUGGAAUUCCAGGUGUAGCGGUGAAAUGCGUAGAUAUCUGGAGGAACACCGGUGGCGAAGGCGGCAUCCUGGACCGAGAUUGACGCUGAGGCGCGAAAGCUAGGGUAGCAAACGGG
rnacentral:rRNA from 1 species